rnacentral:sRNA from 1 species
GAGACUGAAAGCAACCGCGGCUGCCCGGAGGGCCGAACUGGAGGGUGGGCGCAGCCUUGGCUGCCUUGGGAACCGUGCUGCCUCGACUCGGCUACUCCUCGCUGGGCGGUCGUGCGCACUCGCUAGGUCGGGCAGCCCCGGGUCGCUUAGCGGCCGAGGAGGCGCCAGAGCUCCCGUUCCCCUGCAGAGCUACGGGGACCGGAAGGCGAAACAGAGCUGGAGCACAUGCUGCCCACCAGUGGAGCACAGGUACAGAAAGAGCGCGCGAUUGCCCGGCGCGGAGAGGGGUGGGGGAAGCGCCGCCAGGACUGGGCGGCGCCCGGCUUGGAGAAUCAGUAACUGCGAGGCAGGGGAUGGAGCACUCCCUUGGCCUGGUUGCGCUGAGGAAGGAGUUGUGGUUCAUCUGGAUGCUGCCGACUGGAUAGGAUUUAGGAUUUGCCUGGAUUAAGGUCAUCAAAGCCGAAUCCGAACUUGAAUUCUGUGCGGCGGAUUGCAGAGAUGUCUUCAGGCCCUGAGGACUGGGAUCUGCGACCCCCAGUGAACAAAAGUCGGCCGUACCCCAGAGGCUAAUUUUCUCACGGCAGCACCUGUUGCAGAGGCUGCAAGUAAAAUAAAGGCGAACGCUAGUUUCCGAGCUCAUGAGCUGACACAUACAGAGGAGAGGUCAAAAGAGGUCCCUGGAGAACACAGUGAUGCUUCUGAGCCACAGCAAGGAUCUAGCCCAGCCCUAAAUGAGUCCUUAACUGUAUUCAGAGUCUGGUAAUGGGAAUAACAGGAGAGGGGGGUGGGUUUCUAACUGCAUGAAUUAAUCCACAAAGCAGUUUUCCUUUGGGAAGGAGAAGAGGUCUUGCAUACCAGCACAGUGGAUGGGGAAUGGUGUGACCUCUGUCCCUGCUCUCUUCUCUGCUGGCUCAAGGGUCUAUUCUCCAUGUGUCUGUUUCUUUGAUGACUUUAUACUUUUUAUGAAAGGAGCAUCUUUUCAUUAAACCUUCAAAAAUGAAGGAAGAUACAAAAACUAAAGUACAAAUUACCUGAAACUCAGCACCCUUUUGUAACCAUUGUCAGCCCUUUGGUGAAUGUCCUUCCAGGUAUCUCCCUGUACCUGUGUACCCAGAUAGAUAUAUGUAUAGUUAAGAGUGAUCAAAUAUAAGUGCUGUUCUAUACUGUGUAUUUUUCACCAAAUAAUAUAUCUCGUGGACUUCUAUGUCGAUGAAUAUAUAUAAAUAUCUAA